GCCAGGGUGGUGUAGUGGUUUGAGUAUUGGACUGCAAUUCUGGAGACUGGGGUUUGAAUCCCUGCUUGGCCA
rnacentral:tRNA from 1 species